rnacentral:misc_RNA from 1 species
AAACACUCGGAACUACUCGGAUGUCUCGCGCACUGGAGCGUAGCGGAAUCAGCCGAGGAUUGCCGAUUGUCUACGAAAGCAAAGGUCAAAGUAAAAAAAAAUGCCAGCCAGACAACAUAUUAUAUUUUGUCUGUAAAUUCUUAGAUGAUUCAAUAUAAUUCCGAAACAAAUGUACGUUUUAAUGGUUGGCUAAAUAUAUAUUGGUUGGAAUGGAUAAAGAUUUUUUUUUGGAGGAAUUAUUUUACGUUCAAAUUGACUUGCCUCUAAAUACCCACCAGUCAACAAUAUUUACAGUUAAAUGAUGUCAUCGCUUUAUAAAGCUAAUUUGGCGUUACUAGUCAUAUAAAGCUAAUUUGACACUGUUUGUUGAAUUAUACCUAAGAUCUCUAUAAAAUCAAAAGUAAAAAUGGACAACCAACCCCAGGCUCAUUCAGAGACAUCGGAGGAAGGCAAAGUGAAAGUAGAAGCUUCAGCAUCAGAAAAUCAGGUUGUGUACAAACUAAGGGAUAUAUCAAAAGGAAUGGUUGAGGCGUGGAAAUCUAGGUUUCCGGAGUCUUACAAAAAUGUUCAAGUAUCCAAAGGAGAUAUAUUUGAGAGUGCACCUGCUGCUGAUGCUUUAGUCUCUCCUGCUAACAGCUUUGGUUUUAUGGAUGGAGGGAUAGACAUGGCAUAUUCCACACAUUUUGGCUGGCAAAUGUAAGUUAUAAUUUACUUAAUGAAGAUUUUGAGAUUUACCUGUAUACAUGUAUAAUAUAUAUAUAUAUCUUUCUUAUCACCAUAUGCAUGGUUACAAAAUUAAAAUCCCAAUGAAAAAAAACUCAAAUCUAGAUAUAUACAUAUAAAAAUUAAGCUUUCUUAAUGAAAAUAUAAAUUAUUUACAUCAUGAAAACCUAAUUCCUCCUGAGGAUACAAAAAAAAAACUUUUUAUAAAGUUAGUGAUUUGGUCCAUAUCUACCAAGUAGGCCUCUCUUUGGUUUAGAUAAGUUUAUUAUCUUCAACAUGAAGAUUUUCUACACAUUUUAUUAAAGCUAAUGCAUAGGAGAAGACUCUGGUAAUUGUUUGAUUAAUUUGAUUUACCAUGUAAUACUGUGUGAUAGCUCGAUCAUAUCACGUUUUGUUGGAUUUUUAUAUUUUAAUUAACUGAAUAUAGGCAGGAACGGUUACAAAAAGUAAUUCGAGAAGAACACGAUGGAGAAAUUUUGGUUGUGAGUUUUUGUUUUAAUUGAAAUCAAUUAGUAUACUGUAUAAUGAAGAAUCUUUUUGAAAUGAUUAUUGGUAAUUGUGUAGAAAUCUGAAAUUAGCAUUUAGAUGUCCAGUGUACAUUUGGGUCAUAGGGUCAAGCAGUGAUUAUUCCUGCCUAUGAUGAGCAGAAACCCCCAUCAGAAGCAGACUUAAAGGGAUUCAAUGAGGGUGUCCCUAUCAAGUACCUGAUUUCUGCCCCCACCAUGAGGGUACCCCAAGGUGUGGAGGACACAGUCAAUGCUUAUCUGGCAUUUAGAGCAGUGAUACUUGCAGUACAUAAACACAAUGCCAGGAACCCCGGUGAUCAGAUCCGCAGCGUGCUGUGUCCGGGCCUAGGAACUGACGUCGGGAUGAUGGAUCAUGAUCAGUGUGCGAACCAAAUGUGUUUGGCCUAUGAGACACAUGAAUUGAAACUCCCGGAACAUCAGUUCCGGAUCCAUCCAGACAGCCUGUAUUCAAUGCAUAUGGAUCGAAACCAGAUGAUAGUGGAACGAAGAAAGCCGGAUAGGGCAAUAGUACUUGGUUGAAGCAGCAAGUCUUCCAAUCAGACAUUUAAGGAAUAGUGAAAGACCAAUCUGCAAUUCAACUGAAGUCUUAGCUUUUUAGUAUGUCCAAAAAUGAAUAUCAAAUUCUUAAAAUGAAAAAUUACCAUGUCAUUUGAUGAUUUUAAAAAAAAAAUUUACACUAAAUCUUUUGAUAUAUACAGUGAUUCCUGCUUUGUCUCUUGAUGUUUAGUAAUUCAUGUUAUUGUUUUUUAUUACUUGAUAUACAUAAGUAAAUGCUUUGUUACUUCAUAUACAAAGUCCACAUAAUGUGGGUUUGAUUACUGUGUACAGGGUUAUUUUUGCCCCCGGUUAUUUUAGUCUUUUCCAUUUGCAAACGGUUUUGUCCGUCUGAUAAGUGAGAUAAUUUGUCCAUUGGAAUUCGCCCACUCCUAAAUUUGCCCAUAGACAACAAGGGCAAAAGGGGCAAAAAUUAAAAAGGGGCCAGAUAUUUCAGUAUCCUUCUGAUAUAAAUGAAAUGUGUAAUCUGUAUAUAUGCAUGUAUUACAUACAUUGUAUAUAUUAUUAUGUGUAUCUUUGCUUGCUACCUUUAAUCCUAUAUAUAAAAAUUUACCAAUGAAUUAAUUAUCAGACAGUCCUUUUGUUUUUAAUCAUUAAAAUCCAUCAAUC